rnacentral:rRNA from 1 species
CCUACGGGAGGCAGCAGUGAGGAAUAUUGGUCAAUGGACGAGAGUCUGAACCAGCCAAGUAGCGUGAAGGAUGACUGCCCUAUGGGUUGUAAACUUCUUUUAUAUGGGAAUAAAAUGUUCCACGUGUGGGAUUUUGUAUGUACCAUAUGAAUAAGGAUCGCCUAACUCCGUGCCAGCAGCCGCGGUAAUACGGAGGAUCCGAGCGUUAUCCGGAUUUAUUGGGUUUAAAGGGAGCGUAGGUGGAUGGUUAAGUCAGUUGUGAAAGUUUGCGGCUCAACCGUAAAAUUGCAGUUGAAACUGGCAGUCUUGAGUACAGUAGAGGUGGGCGGAAUUCGUGGUGUAGCGGUGAAAUGCUUAGAUAUCACGAAGAACACCGAUUGCGAAGGCAGCUCACUGGACUGCAACUGACACUGAGGCUCGAAAGUGUGGGGAUCAAACAGGAUUAGAUACCCUAGUAGUC